rnacentral:rRNA from 1 species
GACGAACGCUUUCUUCUUUCUUAACACAUGCAAGUCGAACGGAAAGGCCCUGCUUGCAGGGUACUCGAGUGGCGAACGGGUGAGUAACACGUGGGUGAUCUGCCCUGCACUUCGGGAUAAGCGUGGGAAACUGGGUCUAAUACCGGAUAGGAGCCAUCUUUAGUGUGGUGGUUGGAAAGUUUUUUCGGUGUAGGAUGAGCUCGCGGCCUAUCAGCUUGUUGGUGGGGUAAUGGCCUACCAAGGCUGCGACGGGGAGCCGGCCUGGGAGGGUGGACGGCCAAUUUGGGACUGAGCUACGGGCCGGACUCCGACGGGGUGGAGCAGGGGGGAAUAUUUGACAAAGGGGGCCAGCCUGAUUGAAGGACGCCGCCGGGGGGAAUAACGCCUUUGGGGUGGAAAAUCCUUUCCCUAGGGACGAAGCGUUGUUGUGACGGUACCUAGAUAAGAAGCAACGGCUAACUACGUG